GACGGGGGAUGCAAGUGUUAUCCGGAAUCACUGGGCGUAAAGCGUCUGUGGGUGGUUUAAUAAGUCAACUGUUAAAUCUUGAGGCUCAACCUCAAAAUCGCAGUCGAAACUGUUUGACUAGAGUAUAGUAGGGGUAAAGGGAAUUUCCAGUGGAGCGGUGAAAUGCGUAGAGAUUGGAAAGAACACCAAUGGCGAAGGCACUUUACUGGGCUAUUACUAACACUGAGAGACGAAAGCUAGGGUAG
rnacentral:rRNA from 1 species